rnacentral:rRNA from 1 species
GACGAACGCUGGCGGCGUGCUUAACACAUGCCAGUCGAACGGAAAGGCCCUGCUUUUGUGGGGUGCUCGUGUGGCGCGCGGGUGUGUAACACGUGUGUACCACCCUCUUGUUUUUGGGAUACCUUCAGGACACUGGGGAUAAUACCGGAGAUGAGAUUCUGAUGCAUAGUGUGGGUUAGAAAGUUUGGGCGGUGGUGAAUUGACUCGCGCGGUACGAGCUUGUUGGGGGGGUUGUUGCGUAACCGGGCGUUGAUGGGGAGCCGGCCUGAGUGGGGGAUCGGCGACACUGGAGGUGGGACGCGGUCCAGGGGCCUACGGGAGGCAGCAGUCGGGAAUCGUCGGCAAUGGGCGGAAGCCUGACGGAGCGGCGCCGCGCGAGUGAUGAAGGUCUUCGGAUCGUAAAACUCUGUUAUGGGGGAAGAACAUACGUGUAAGGAACUGAGCACGUCGUGACGGUACCUAGUCAGAAAGCAACGGCUAACUACGUG